rfam:Myotis davidii contig319336, whole genome shotgun sequence.
AUAUUUACCUGGCAGGGGAGAUACUAUGAGUAACUAUGAGAUACUAUGAUUCCCCAAGGUGGUUUUUCCAGGGUGAGGCUUGUUCAUUGUGCUAACUCUUGAGAUUUCCCCAAACGUGGGAACUUGACAGCAUAAUGUGUGGUAGUGGGGAACUAUGUUUGCACUCCCCUG